GUGCUAGUCACUCCCUGCGGGACUUUCAUUAAUUUCUUCACCUCGAUUCCCAUGUGGUAAUUCCUAAGGCCCAGUUUAAAGAUGGGUUGAUACCCUCCAGUGGCAGAGAGGAGAAUUUCUAAUUGUUUCUGUUCUGCAUUAUGGAUUCAUUUCUGUACUCUCUUCCUCAAUGUACAAGUAAGGUGACAGUUAUAUAAAAUCAUACACAAUAAAAUCAGGACUAUAAUAACAAAAUGAUAGAAGAAUGAUUUCAUUAUCUGAGAUCCAGUAGGGGACCAACCAGUAAAGCAUUGUACCAAUUAUGGGCUAAAUCAUUCUGAAUUUGUGAACUCACCUUAAGGAGUUCUCCUUUUAGGAUAUGUGUGGCUACCUGUGUAUGUUAUCUUUGGGAAAAAUAUAGUCCCCUGUGUAUGUGGGUGCCCACCAGGUUAAAUUCUUGGCAAAAAGAUCAUAAACUGGUACUGGUAAUGUGUUAAAUUGACAAGCUAAUUUAACAUCCUUUGAUGAUGUAUGAUAUAAUGUAAAAUAGCAUGAGCAUGAAAAAUGUGAAACAUUACCAGUUAACCAUCCAUUGCAUUUACUGGAUUGGGGUUUCAGAAGUAACCAUUCAUUAUCUGUGAGGUUAAGCAUUCCUCUAAUCUUCUCUAGUUUAGGAAUCAUUAGUGUGUUUUCUAAUGCCAAUCCUUGUUGUUGUAUCCAUAAAUACCUGAUGGCACAAGUACUCCAGUUACUUAAACCUGUAGUGAAUUUCAUAGUUGCAACAGUUAAAUUAUCUAAAUAAUUAUACAUUGAUUUAUCUAAAUCCAAUCCUAUAACCUGUGAUUUAACAACAAUUGGAGCCCAAUUUGCAGUAGCAUGAAAACGAGUCCCUAUAUGCAUGCUGGCUGUGUUUAACUUAUUCUUGAGGGUCUCCAUAUCUAUAACUAUUUAGUAUACCCAUAGUGGUUCCAGCACCAUCUAACAGUGUGUCAUACCAUUCCCUUUUCUGCCUUUGUUUGUUGUAUUACAUAAUGUUACAACAGGAGUAGUGAUUUUUAAUGACACAUGUACAGCUUGUAAGAAGGCAGUUGUAUUAACACAUGUGGACGGAAUAGGUGUGUGUGUGUCGUGUUUGACUUUUGGUUCUAUGAUAGUGGAUGAAGGACAGUAAUAAGGUGUAAAAAUAUAAGGUAGUGUAUAGUUCUCAAUUGUAGUGUCGUUCAUAAUGACUAACAUUUGUCCCCUUCUCCAAUUAAUGAUACCAGUUAUAUAAUCAUUAUUAAAAGUAACAAGGCCUGUCUGUUUACAUUGAUAUGCAACCUUAACUGUGCACAUUUCUGCGUUAUAAGAUCUAACAAUUUUCUGUGAACCUUUAAACAAACAUAAUGCAUCGGUUUCAUUAGCUGUAGACACAUUUCAUAUGGGUAACUGGUACUUAUAAGGGUUACUAUUUGUCCAAUUCAUCCAAAUGCGUUCAGUAAAUGAAUGAUUGCAUAUUGCAUGCUGAUAGAAAGGUGGUGGAGAAAGGUUCUUGAGGGGGUGUGUGUGACGAAUGCUAGAUGAGGAGCUAAGGCCUAAUUGGGCUGGGGGUAUUGAAGAAUUGUUCAUCAUGUCAGAGUCUUUUUCCAGAACUUGCCAUUGACUUGUACUCAUAAUGGCAUUCAAGGAACAAUAUCAGAGGGAGUAUAACAACUCCAGAAAGCAUAGCGCACAACAUAAUCUUGGUCUCAGGUACGUAUGAUCCUCUCAAUCUACGAUAUGGUGUGAAAACCAUGAUGCUUCGCUGAGGAGAAAUUCUUCUGUUUCCGAGCGAGGAGUGGUGUUGUCUUCCUUGGUUCCCCUCUUUGGACACAGCUUCACUCGGGAUGCGUGAAUCCAGAUGUCAUGGGAAUCUGUGAGGACAGCGGUUCUGGGUACAGCAAUCACAGUAGCAGGUGGUCCAAAAGGGUAUCCUCCUUUCUUGGUCCUGUUCAGCUGACGGAUAUACACCUUGUCACCGGGCUGGUAUGAAUGAGUAGGUUCCUGUGAAGGUAAGGGAAAACUGCGAAGAAACAUUGUCAUACAUACCAUUCAGUUUUAUCAACAACUCCUGUACAUAUUGUUCUUGUAUUAGCUGUAAAUCCCCAGACAUUAUAACAAGCGGUUCCCUGGCCCAGGGUGUGGGAAAAGGUCAUCCCAUCAAAAUCUCAAAUGGAGAUAAUUUAGUCACCUUGUGAGGAAUCACUCUUAUCUCAGCUAAAAUAGCUGGUAGAUAUCUAGUCCAAUUUUCCCAUGUUCCUGGGUAAAUUCUGGGCUUUUCCUUAAUAGUCCUAUUCAUCCUUUCAACUACCCCUGUAUUCUGUGGAUGAUAGGAUAUAUGAAACUGCCAGAUAACUUGCAAGAAUUUAGCAAGUUCCUGGGCAACCCCACUGGCAAAAACCGGGCCAUUAUCAGAGCCAAUCUGCAGAGGGCAGCCAUACCUGGGAAUAAUUUCAGUAACAAUAAUCUUCACUAGCAUCUUCCCUAGAUGUCACAAAGGCAUCAUGCCAUCUACUAAACUGAUUAACUAUGACCAGUAAGUAUUGCUGUUUCUUACCAAUUUUGGAUACAUGAAUAAAAUCAAUCUGUAAGUGUGUAAAAAGAGCAGCGUUCACACGAUCUUACAAAAGACUGUACAUGCUGCCUGAGAUUCCUAAUAUAAAAUGAAUUCAUGAAGAAUUGAAUGGUGCUUGCUAUGUGCCUGACUGAUGAAAAUAAAUCAGCUUGCUUCAAGUAUGCCUAUUCUUCAAGUAUGCCUAUUCUCCCCUCUUUAGAGAACAGAUCAUUUUGAUCUUUCUCUAAACCUUGUUUAAUCCAAAAGACAGAUUCUGGGUAUUUAAAAAAAAAGAAUCUCAUAACCACUGAAGCGCUGGGCUGUCAUGUGUUGUGUGGUGAGAUUUGUCAGCUGAGUGACCUGGUGACUGGCAUGAAGUAUUGUAGGAUGCCCUAGUGUGAUAGUAGUAGCAGUUUCAACAGCCAUUGCACAUGCUAUCAAUGCUCUGAGACACGCCGGCAUACCCUGUACCGGAGCUCGAACUACUUUGGAAAAGAAUGCUAUGGGACGCAUACCGCCUCCUUGCUCUUGUACACAGACUGCGGCCAUGGUUUUACAAUUGUCCCAAGCAUACAAAUGAAAUGGUUUACAAUACACAGGUAGUCCUAAAGCCUGGGCUUGCACAAUAACAACUGUAAGGGCAAUAUAUGCAGCUAGCAUGUCUGGUGACCAGCAGACAUUUUCAGGGCUGUCAGAACGUACAGCCUCCCUUAGGAUUGAGUCAUAAUGGGAGCAUUCAGGGAUCCAUGGUGGCAGUAAUUAAUCAUGCCGAGGAAGGUGAGCAACUCCUUCCGAGUAGUGGGUGUAGGAAUCCUCUGAAUGACCUCAAUACGUUUUGGACUCAAUUGUCUGGUGCCUAAAGCCAGAACAAAACCUAAGUAUUCAACCUUUGAUUUACACAAUUGCAUUUUGUGUUUAACAACCUUGUGACCUACAGUUGCUGACAGUAUUCACAGUGCUUGCCUCAUAGCUAGGGCUACAUAACAACAAAUCAUCAACAUUUUGCAAAAAGGACGGAACCAUGACCGGUGGUCCAUGUUUUUAGAGUAUGUUGGAGUACCAACGAAUAAACAGCUGGGGAAUCCACAUAGCCUUGGGUAAGCGUGUCCAGGUAAACUGACAGCCUUCAAAAAAUAAAAACCAUAAGUAGCUGUGUCUCUUGAUCAAUAGGUAUAGAAAAAAUGCAUUACUUAAAUCAAUGACAGUGAAGCAAGUGGCAUCAUGUGGAAUGGCUGUAAUGAGGGAUGUCACAUCAGGGACAAUGGGUGAAAUGGGCACAAUUAAACUAUUCAGGGCUCUAAAGUCCUGAACUAAGCGAUAUGCUGGCCAGUGGUGUUGGGAGUGGGUCUGGUGUUGUUCUUGCCUACCGGGCAUAUUUUGAGAAUUGUGGGGUUGUUGGGGUGUGUGGGGUUUCCUGGGGUUUCCUGGGGUUUCCUGGGGUGUGGACACUCAUUCCUCCAGUGGCCAUAUUGGCCACAGUUGAAACAAGUGUUCCUGUCUAUUCCUCCUUGGUUACCCCUGCCCCUAUAACCCUGAUUUCCCUGUCUCCAUCCCCUUGCCCCUCUUUGACCACCCCUUCCACGGGCUUUAUGUGCUCCAUCCCAUCCUCGCUCUCAGCCUGUGUAGGUGGCAAUCCCUGAGCAUAAUAAGCAACCUUACUUUCCUAAAUCUUUUCUUAAUUCAAAACAACCUGCAUUUUCCUUUUCUAUAACCUUGGUAAGAAAAUCUGAGCUAUCCAAAUUGGCCCAGUCUGAUCAAUUGUUUCACAAGCAAAGAAUACUGUGGCAACAUAUUACCAAGGCAUGACUGUAUUUUAAAGAGAUCUAUAUCAUCUCCAGACAUCAAACCUGCCUCAUCCUUCCAACACUUGUAAAAUUUCUUUACAAAAAUCAUAUUACCAAUCUCUUCCUUUGCAUCUUGCUUAUAUGCCAAAGCAGUGAAUAUAGACUGCUUAUUCUUCCAUAAUCCCAACAUUUCAGCUUCCACCUUGUUCCAAAUUUUAGCACAUCUUACUGAAGUACUAAGCUCAUAAUCACCAAUUCAUUUCAAACCAUAUAACUCAUACUCAGCAUCCCAUGUAAUAUUAGUCAUCUCAUAAAACAAUAUCUUUGUAGAAACACAUAAUGGGUACCCAGCAGAUAUGCCAAUACAGAAAUCACAUUUAUGGGCACACAACUACACACUCUGUCUCCCUCCUAGGAAACACAGAUAGACACAAUAUAAAAGCAAUCUUAAACUAACACCUCCAAAUCUCCAACUAUUCUUGGCCAAAACGCUAGUAUUCAACAACUAAUAAAACAGUUAUUUGCUAGGUUAUUUGGCUGUCAUUCUUAUCAGUAUCACUAGACUGUGACAAACUGAUUCACAUAUAAUUUAAAACAAUACAGCAACAUAUAAAUUAAACCACUUUCAAGUUAAACUGCACACUUAUCACACAUUAUCACAAUCACCAUUUACACAAAAUAAAGAGUUAACAGCUGUAUUCAGAACAUAUUAUUGGAAAGUAUACCAAUUUUAGUUUAGAUUUAUUUUAGGGAUUCUUAUGUAUACAUUUUCUUAAUUAACUUCAUUACUUUAAUCUACUAUAGUAUUGUAUUUAAAGAAAGGAUCCAUUUAUAUAGCGCGCUCAUAACUCAACUAUUUGUAUAAAACUACCAUUAACUAAUCUGAGAUGAUGCUGCAUCAACUUAAAUCUUAUAGAAAU
rnacentral:lncRNA from 1 species